rnacentral:lncRNA from 1 species
CUGGCCAAGCUUGUUUGCCAAGCUAUUGGAGAAGCGCAACCUUGAGGACCUCAUCAUGAAUGUCGGGUCUGGCGGCGGUGCUGGUCCAGUGGCAGCUGCAGUUCCUGCUGCUGCUGGUGGUGCAGCUGCAGCUGCUGCUCCUCCACCUGAAGAAAAGAAGAAGGUAAAUAAUAUCAUUUCAUUGUUUUUAUUUUGUCCAUUUUUUGUUUUAGAGUUGUUAUCUAUUUUUUUGUUUAUAUUUUACAGGAAGAGCCUGAAGAAGAGAGUGAUGACGACAUGGGAUUCAGUUUAUUUGAUUAGGAGAGCUCUUUUCAGUAUGCUCAAGUCACAUGUUGGUCUUGGUAGCUCAAAAGUAGCUCUUUUUUUUCGUUGGAUAUUUUGGC